rnacentral:rRNA from 1 species
UACAGAGGUCUCAAGCGUUGUUCGGAUUCAUUGGGCGUAACGGGUGUGUAGGUGGCGCGCUAAGUCGGGUGUGAAAUUUCGGAGCUUAACUCCGAAACUGCAUUCGAUACUGGCGUGCUUGAGGACUGGAGAGGAGACUGGAAUUUACGGUGUAGCAGUGAAAUGCGUAGAUAUCGUAAGGAAGACCAGUGGCGAAGGCGGGUCUCUGGACAGUUCCUGACACUGAGACACGAAGGCCAGGGGAGCAAACGGG